AGUGAACGCUGGCGGUAGGCCUAACACAUGCAAGUCGAACGGCAGCACAGUAAGAGCUUGCUCUUACGGGUGGCGAGUGGCGGACGGGUGAGGAAUACAUCGGAAUCUACUUUUUCGUGGGGGAUAACGUAGGGAAACUUACGCUAAUACCGCAUACGCCCUACGGGUGAAAGCAGGGGAUCUUCGGACCUUGCGCGAUUGAAUGAGCCGAUGUCGGAUUAGCUAGUUGGCGGGGUAAAGGCCCACCAAGGCGACGAUCCGUAGCUGGUCUGAGAGGAUGAUCAGCCACACUGGAACUGAGACACGGUCCAGACUCCUACGGGAGGCAGCAGUGGGGAAUAUUGGACAAUGGGCGCAAGCCUGAUCCAGCCAUACCGCGUGGGUGAAGAAGGCCUUCGGGUUGUAAAGCCCUUUUGUUGGGAAAGAAAAGCAGCAGGUUAAUACCCCGCUGUUCUGACGGUACCCAAAGAAUAAGCACCGGCUAACUUCGU
rnacentral:rRNA from 1 species